rnacentral:misc_RNA from 1 species
UCCGGUUUGACACCGGCGGUCUCGCUAGAGUACUCAGCAUAACCUGUUAGCAACUAGCGACAGGGGUUUCGCUCGUUGAGGGACUUAACCCGACACUUCACAGCACGAGCUGACGACAGCCAUGCAGCACCUGUGCAUGUUCCACCCGAAGGGUGUGGCUCCCGUUUCCGGGAGUUAAUCCAUGCAUGUCAAACCCAGGUAAGGUUCUUCGCGUUGCUUCGAAUUGAGCCACAUGCUCCACCGCUUGUGUGAGCCCCCGUCAAUUCCUUUGAGUUUUAGCCUUGCGACCGUACUCCCCAGGCGGCGCACUCAACACUUUUGCUUCGGCCGGGAGGCCGUGAAAGCUCCCCGACCUAGUGCGCAUCGUUUACGGCGUGGACUA